rnacentral:snoRNA from 1 species
CUCCUUUCAGGGUCACAUCUGGAGAGUUUCCAGUACUCUACCAGUCUCGGUUACGGGAAGGAGAGUCAAGCAGAGGCCUAUCCCUUCCAUUCCUAGCUUGGGCAGUGGCUAGUGAGUGCAAGGCAAUCUGCUACAAGU